UACGUAGGGUGCAAGCGUUGUCCGGAAUUAUUGGGCGUAAAGAGCUCGUAGGCGGUUUGUCGCGUCUGCCGUGAAAGUCCGGGGCUCAACUCCGGAUCUGCGGUGGGUACGGGCAGACUAGAGUGAUGUAGGGGAGACUGGAAUUCCUGGUGUAGCGGUGAAAUGCGUAGAUAUCGGGUGGAACACCAGAGGCGAAGGCGGCGAACUGGACAGCAACUGACACUAAACUGCGAAAGCGUGGGGAGCAAACAGG
rnacentral:rRNA from 1 species